rnacentral:misc_RNA from 1 species
UGCAAGCGUGAAGGAUUAAAGCAAUUGUUUGAGCUCUUUUUGUUUUUACAAAAAAGCGAGUGCGCAAAGCCUGACCGAUA